rnacentral:rRNA from 1 species
GCUAAGAAUCUUCCGCAAUGGGGGAAACCCUGACGGAGCGACGCCGCGUGGAUGAUGAAGGCCGUAAGGUUGUAAAAUCCUUUUGCGGGCGAAGAAUAAGGGGGGGAGUGGAAAGCCCUCCUGAUGACGUUAGCCUGCGAAUAAGCCCCGGCCAAUUACGUGCCAGCAGCCGCGGUAAUACGUAUGGGGCGAGCGUUGUUCGGAGUUAUUGGGCGUAAAGGGCGUGUAGGCGGCGCGCUUUGUCUGGUGUGAAAACGCAGGGCUCAACCCUGCGGUUGCGCUGGAAACGGGCGUGCUAGAGUUCCAAGGGGGAAGUCGGAAUUCCUGGUGUAGGGGUGAAAUCUGUAGAGAUCAGGAAGAACACCGGUGGCGAAGGCGGGCUUCUACUUGAGGACUGACGCUGAGGCGCGAAAGCGUGGGGAGCAAACAGGAUUAGAUACCCCUGUAGUCC